UACGAAGGGGGGCUAGCGUUGUUCGGAAUCACUGGGCGUAAAGCGCACGUAGGCGGAUUUUUAAGUCAGGGGUGAAAUCCCGGGGCUCAACCUCGGAACUGCCUUUGAUACUGGAGAUCUUGAGUCCGGAAGAGGUAAGUGGAACUGCGAGUGUAGAGGUGAAAUUCGUAGAUAUUCGCAAGAACACCAGUGGCGAAGGCGGCUUACUGGUCCGGAACUGACGCUGAGGUGCGAAAGCGUGGGGAGCAAACAGG
rnacentral:rRNA from 1 species